rnacentral:rRNA from 1 species
UACGAAGGGGGCUAGCGUUGUUCGGAAUUACUGGGCGUAAAGCGCGUGUAGGCGGGUCCUUAAGUCAGGGGUGAAAUCCUGGAGCUCAACUCCAGAACUGCCCUUGAUACUGAGGAUCUUGAGUUCGGGAGAGGUGAGUGGAACUGCGAGUGUAGAGGUGAAAUUCGUAGAUAUUCGCAAGAACACCAGUGGCGAAGGCGGCUCACUGGCCCGAUACUGACGCUGAGGCACGAAAGCGUGGGGAGCAAACAGG